rnacentral:tRNA from 22 species
GGGGCUGUAGCUCAGUUGGGAGAGCGCGUCGUUCGCAAUGACGAGGUCAGGGGUUCGAUUCCCCUCAGCUCCACCA